rnacentral:rRNA from 1 species
UGGGAACCUUCCCUAUGGUUCGGAAUAGCCCAGGGAAACUUGGGGUAAUACCGAAUAAGCCCUUCGGGGGAAAGAUUUAUCGCCAUUGGAUGGGCCCGCGUCGGAUUAGCUAGUUGGUGGGGUAACGGCUCACCAAGCCUACGAUCCUUAGCUGAUCUGAGAGGAUGAUCAGCCACACUGGGACUGAGAUACGGCCCAGACUCCUACGGGAGGCAG